rnacentral:rRNA from 1 species
AUGGUGUGCUACCCAUGCAACCCCUUCCCACACCUACCACCAGGCACCACCAUCGUCCCAUCAGGACCCCUCCGUGAGCAGCAUGGUUAUGUUGUCGUCGGCGGCGAGCUCCCGAUGGUCUGUGAUGAAUGGGCCAUUGCCACUCUCGAGCCUAGAAUCUCCAAGGAAUUUCAUGGAGCUAAUGCCAUGAUCAUCAACUUCUUGGAGAAAAGAGGAUGGAGGAUCACCUAUUCAUCCAGAUGCGGUAUGGGAUCAGUUCUAGUUCAGUUUACCACUACAUGCUCUUGUGAUACUGCGGUCAGUCAUAGCCCCUUCCAGAUCGGUGAUACUAUGCUUAGAAUUACUAGGCAAGAUCGUGGUAUUAACUACAGAAGCAUUACUUUCACACAUGAUAUCUGGAUGCUAUUGAUGAACUAUCCAUUACAGUGCUAGGAUGUCAAUAUUAUCAGUAGAACUUUUGCUCCAUAUGGUUGCUUUCUCAUUUGGAACAAAGACCCUAGGGACAAAACCAUAAUCAUAGUGAAACUCAGGGUUAUGAAUGCUAAUACACUUCCUCUCAGCAUUUUUGUUCUUAACAACCUGGAUGAUGUGGAUUAUGGGGACUCAUGGACAUUACCUGCUUAUAUUCUGUCUAGAGAACUUAUUGGGCAGCAGGGAGGAGUUGAAGAUCCACUUCCCCCAAAUGGUGGAAAUCCACAUCCCCUGCCC